rnacentral:misc_RNA from 1 species
UCCGAUUUGUCACCGGCAGUCUCCCAUGAGUCCCCACCAUUACGUGCUGGCAACAUGGAACGAGGGUUGCGCUCGUUGCGGGACUUAACCCAACAUCUCACGACACGAGCUGACGACAGCCAUGCACCACCUGUGCACGGCCCUUACGGACCCGACAUCUCUGCCGGAUUUCCGUGCAUGUCAAGCCCAGGUAAGGUGGGGAUGACGUGACGGCAUUAGCCA